UGGCUCAGGAUGAACGCUAGCGACAGGCCUAACACAUGCAAGUCGAGGGGCAGCACAAGGAGCAAUCUGAGGUGGCGACCGGCGCACGGGUGAGUAACACGUAUGCAACCUGCCUGUAAGCGGGGAAUAACCCGUUGAAAGACGGACUAAUACCGCAUAACACUAAAUUACUGCAUGGUAAUUUAUUUAAACAUUUAUGGCUUACAGAUGGGCAUGCGCAUGAUUAGCUAGUUGGAGAGGUAACGGCUCCCCAAGGCAACGAUCAUUAGGGGUUCUGAGAGGAAGGUCCCCCACACUGGUACUGAGACACGGACCAGAUUCCUACGGGAGGCAGCAGUGAGGAAUAUUGGUCAAUGGACGAGAGUCUGAACCAGCCAAGUCGCGUGCAGGAAGAAUUGUCCUAUGGAUUGUAAACUGCUUUUGCAGGGGAAUAAAGUGCAUCACGUGUGAUGUUUUGUAUGUACUCUGCGAAUAAGGAUCGGCUAACUCCGUGCCAGCCGCCGC
rnacentral:rRNA from 1 species